rfam:Oryza nivara chromosome 3, whole genome shotgun sequence.
UUUGGGAAAUGAUGAACAAUUCAUCUCAGAUAUCCUUUAUGGAUUUAUUUUCAGAAUGAUGAAAAUUUGCACGUCAGUCUGAUCCCAAA